rnacentral:tRNA from 1 species
GGCCUCGUGGCCUAAUGGAUAAAGCGUCUGACUUCGGAUCAGAAGAUUCCAGGUUCGAGUCCUGCCGGGGUCG